rnacentral:rRNA from 1 species
UACGAAGGGGGCUAGCGUUGUUCGGAAUCACUGGGCGUAAAGCGCACGUAGGCGGAUUUUUAAGUCAGGGGUGAAAUCCUGGAGCUCAACUCCAGAACUGCCUUUGAUACUGAAGAUCUUGAGUCCGGGAGAGGUGAGUGGAACUGCGAGUGUAGAGGUGAAAUUCGUAGAUAUUCGCAAGAACACCAGUGGCGAAGGCGGCUCACUGGCCCGGUACUGACGCUGAGGCACGAAAGCGUGGGGAGCAAACAGG